UGGCAUUUCUGGUAUGCUUUUUGAGGCAAGACUGGUAUGCUUACCCCAAGAGAAAGAACAGAUUCCCUGAGAAACUGCUUUCCAGGGGAGCAAGACGGAGCUAAGCAGAUGAUGCAAAUCUGCAUUCUGGUGGAGCAGGGGACAAGGAAAGGUGACAGAAGCAGGCCUGUGACAGAACUUGCUCUCACGAAGCUGACCUCGAAGUCCCACGUGUAAAACUGGUGAACACGGAGAUGGACAGACGGUGGCACACAGCGACCCGCCCCCCCCCCCCACCCCCCCCCCCCCCCCCCCCCCCCGCCCAGCAAAGUUCAAAACCACUGGUGUGCAAAGCACUUAGCCUAGCCUGGGUUUGAAUGCCGACUACCGAUUAGUGACCUUGAGCAAGCAGGCCACUCACUCCUCUGAGUUGUGCUUCCUCAUCAGCAAAAUGGGACCAACACAACCUCCCCAGCAGGGUUCCGAGGGUUUCAGAUGAUGCAUGUGCAACAGCCUAGCACACCGCAGGGCACACGGAGACCGGGAGAGGGGCGCCUGGGGGGCUCAGUCGGUUGAGCGUCGGACUCUUGAUUUCAGCUCAGGUCAUGAUCUCACAGCUCCUGGGAUCGAGUCCCAAGUUGGGCUCUGAGCUGUUGAGCAGAGCCUGCCUGAGAUUCUCUCUCUCCUUCUCUCUCUGCCACUCCCCUGAUUGUGUGGGUGUGCACAGGCUCACACAUGCACUCUCUCUCUCAAAAAAAAAAAAAAUGGGGGGGACAAACGGGCUCAAGUCUCCCCCAGCCUUCUGGCCAAAUCUGUGACUCUCUCCUCUUCACAGCCAAGCCUCUCCAAAGGGAGAUCUCCUCCCCUCACUGUCUCUAGCUCACAUCUUUUUUUUUUUUUAAUGUUUAUUUGUUUAUUUUGAGAGAGAGAAAGUGCACGCCAGCAUGGGGAGAGGCACAGAGAGAGGAGAGAGAGAGAGAAUCCCCAGCAGGCUCCACACUGUCAGCACAGAGCCCGACUCGGGGCUCGAUCCCACAAACUGAGAUCAUGACCUGAGCCAAAAUCAGGAGUUGGAUCCUUAACCGACUGAGCCCCCCAGGAGUCCCUUAUCCCCUCACUUCUAAAUCUGUCCUCAACGCUCUGCAUUCUGGUUUCCACCUCCAUCAUCCCAGCACGAUUGCUUCUACGCCGUCUCCAGCGAUGACCUUCCAGCUGCUCAGUGCAAGUCCUUAUCUUCAUUCGCUUCCUGGCCUCACUGACUCAUGUUGGCUACUUCCUACUCCUGGAAACUCUCUUCCCUCGUCUUCCAUGACCUCCUACAGCUGUGAUUGCUGGCAUUUACCAACUUGAAGUCUCAGAAAGCUUUCUUUUCACUCUGCAUUCUCUCCCCGAGUCCUUUUCUCCCUGCCCCACACCCCUGCCUGCUCCCUUCCUCACUCUGCCAGCCACACAGCCCUCCUAGCAAGGUUCCUUGAAAGAGCCAUGUUCUUCCGAGUUCUGGGAAUUCCUACAUGCCGUUCCCUCUCCAGAAACACUCUGCCCUCUGUUCUUUGCCCCCUUCACCUGGCCCACUCCCACUCAUCCUGCAGAUGUUAGUCACUGCCUUGGGGAAGACUUCCUUGCCCCUUGGGCUGGGUUAGCACUUGGCUCAUUCUGCUCCUUUUCAUAGUCCUCCUUAUACUUUUUCAAAAAAAUUUUUUAGCAUUUAUUUAUUUUUGAGAGACAGAGCAUGAGCGGGAGAGAGGCGGGGAAAGAGGAAGACAGAGAAUCCGAAGCAAGCUCCAGGCUCCGAGCUCGGACUCACGAACCUGUGAGAUCAUGACCUGAGCGGAAGUCGGAUGCUUGCCCCCGACUGAGCCACCCAGGCGCCCCUAGUCCUCAUUACACUUGAGGAAAUUAUUCCAGCAGUUAUUACAUUAAAAUCUCCCCUGCCACCACUAGACUUACAUUCCAUGAAGACAGGGACCAAGUCUGUCUUACCCACUACAGCACCCCUAGUUCCUGAUGAAUGGAGGGUGCUUAAUAAAUAGAUAUGGAUUUGGCCAUGGAAUCAUAGCUUGGCACUCAAAGGCACAAGGGACAGAACAAGAAAGAGAUAAAUUGGACUUCACCGAAAUUAAAGACUUUGGGGCCUCAAAGGAAAACGAUUGGGAAAGUAAAAAGACGACCCACAGAACAGCAGAAGAUAUUUGCAAACAUAUAUCUUGUAAGGGUCCAGUAUCUAGAGUAUAUAAAGAAUCCUACAACUCAACGACAAAAAUAUAAACAACCUGCCCUUAAAAAAUGGGCAAAGGCCUGGAACGGGCGGUUCUCUGGAGAAGAAGGGAUAUAUGCACAUAGCCGACAAGCACCUGAAAAGAUGCUCAACAUCAUUAGUCAUUAGGGAAAUGCACGUGAAGCCCAGAAUGACAUACGACUUUAUAGCCACGAGGAUGGCUGUGAUCAGAUAGAUUAUAACAAGCAUUGGACAAGGAUGCAGAGAAAUGAGAACCCUCAUUCUCCGCUGGUGGGAAUGUGAAAUGGUGCAGCCACUUUGGAAAGCAGUCUAAGAGCUCCUCAAAAAGUUGGAACGUAGAGUUACCAUAUGUGAUAUUGCGAUUUAUAGUAAAUACAUAUGUGGGGGCGCCUGGGUGGCUCAGUCGGUGAAGCGUCCGACUCUUGAUUCCGGCUCAGGUCAGGAUGUCACGGUUCGUGGGACUGAGCCCCACAUCCGGCUCCGCGCUGACAGUGUGGAGUCUGCUUGGGAUUCUCUCUCUCUCUACCCCUCCCCCGCUCACAUACACUCGCUCUUUCAUUCUCUCUCAACAUAAAUAAACUGAAAUUUAAAAAAUAUAUAUGUUGGGGCGCCUGGGUGGCUCAGCCGGUUGAGCGGCCGACUUCGGCUCAGGUCAUGAUCUCGCGGUCCGUGAGUUCAAGUCCCGCGUCAGGCUCUGUGCUGACAGCUCAGAGCCUGGAGCCUGUUUCGGAUUCUGUGUCUCCCUCUCUCUGACCCUCCCCCAUUCAUGCUCUGUCUCUCUCUGUCUCAAAAAUAAAUAAACGUUAAAAAAAUUAAAAAAUAUAUAUGUAUAUAUUUGGCCUUUGACCUUGUUCCAGGCACCGAGCAACCCUUCAAAUUUCCUGAUAAGAGUGAUAAUGGUGUCUUGUUAUGUUAAACAGGUGUCUUUUGGAAAGCCCUUAAGACAGGGCUGGUUGCCAGGGCCACCAACCCCAGGAUUACCCAAAGUAACAGAACUUUCGUACCUCCCCCAAACCUCCUGGGAGGGAAGAGGGCCUGAGGUUGAGUCAGUCCCCAAAGGCCAAUGAUUCAAUCAACCAUGGCUAUGUAAUGAAGCGUCCAUAAAGAGCCAAAAGGAAGGAAUUCUAAGAGCUUCUGGGCUGGUACACAUGUGGAGGUGCUAGGUGAGUGGCACCCUGGAGGGCACGGAAGCCCCGAGAACCCUUCCCUAUGCCUUGCCUUAAACAUUUCUUCCAUGCGUCUCUUCCUGAGUUAUACCCUUUUGUCAUAAACUAGGGAUCUAAUAAGUAAAACGUUUCUCUGAUUUCUA